GGGUAUAGACCCGAAACCCGGUGAUCUAGCCAUGGGCAGGUUGAAGGUUGGGUAACACUAACUGGAGGACCGAACCGACUAAUGUUGAAAAAUUAGCGGAUGACCUGUGGCUGGGGGUGAAAGGCCAAUCAAACCGGGAGAUAGCUGGUUCUCCCCGAAAGCUAUUUAGGUAGCGCCUCGUGAAUUCAUCUCCGGGGGUAGAGCACUGUUUCGGCCAGGGGGCCAUCCCGGCUUACCAAUCCGAUGCAAACUGCGAAUACCGGAGAAUGUUAUCACGGGAGACACACGGCGGGUGCUAACGUCCGUCGUGAAGAGGGAAACAACCCAGACCGCCAGCUAAGGUCCCAAAGUCAUGGUUAAGUGGGAAACGAUGUGGGAAGGCCCAGACAGCCAGGAUGUUGGCUUAGAAGCAGCCAUCAUUUAAAGAAAGCGUAAUAGCUCACUGGUCGAGUCGGCCUGCGCGGAAGAUGUAACGGGGCUAAACCAU
rnacentral:rRNA from 1 species